GCAUUGGUGGUUCAGUGGUAGAAUGCUUGCCUUCUAUGCAGGAAAUGGGAAUUUAAUUCCCAUCCAGGGUA
rnacentral:tRNA from 1 species